GAUGAACGCUGGCGGCGUGCCUAAUACAUGCAAGUCGAACGCUGGAGAUCUAGCUUGCUAGAUCGAAGGAGUGGCGAACGGGUGAGUAAUACAUAAGCAACCUACCCACGAAGACUGGGAUAAUCUCUGGAAACGGGGACUAAUACCGGAUAGGUAAUCGGAAGGCAUCUUCUGGUUAUUAAAGGUUAAAAACACUGGUGGAUGGGCUUAUGGCGCAUUAGUUAGUUGGUGAGGUAACGGCCCACCAAGACGAUGAUGCGUAGCCGGCCUGAGAGGGUGAACGGCCACAGUGGGACUGAGACACGGCCCAGACUCCUACGGGAGGCAGCAGUAGGGAAUUUUCGGCAAUGGGGGCAACCCUGACCGAGCAACGCCGCGUGAGUGAAGACGGCCUUCGGGUUGUAAAGCUCUGUUGUAAGGGAAGAACGGUAGAUAGAGAAUAUCUAAGUGACGGUACCUUACCAGAAAGCCACGGCUAACUACGUG
rnacentral:rRNA from 1 species